rnacentral:lncRNA from 1 species
UUUUGUUUUUCUUCUUCCUAAUUACACUUUUAACAAUUUAAAUUACGUGCAAUCCUAAUCAGGAAAAGAUAAAGUGUCCUUCAUCCCUAUGUCCUAUAACAUAACAAUGAUUUAUAACAUAACAUUUAGCUUUUGUAUAUUCACAAAUUGAACAUAAAACUUUACAAUAACCUUCCAGAGGGAAACCAAAGGGAAUCACGAGAACUGAUAACUCUAGCAGAAAACCGAUCAGACUCACUAAACCUUGACUUUCUUCCCUCCUUAUGCACCUUACCCUUUUCCUUAUACACCUCCAUACCAACCUUAUCCUUCACCUCUCUCACCGAAUCCCAUAACCCCUGUUGUGACUCCAAAAUCAUCACCACCCUCUCCUUACACUCUUCCAACCUCUUCAAACAACAAACCAAUUCAACAGCUUCUCCAAAUUCCAAACACCCUAAUCUCUCCUUAAACUCAUUCACUUCAACAAUCACCACAGUUUCUAUCACCACCCAAUCUUCACAAACCAAAUUCACUAUCUCACCCACCAACUUGUUCAUGUUCACUUGAUCUGGUCUCUUACAAAUCCCCUCAACCAGUGUCACCAAAGAGUCAAACUCCUUCAACAAACCACAGUUUGUAAGACAAGAAACUCUCUCUUCACCAUCACACAAAGACUUUCCAAGAAAGAAGAAACCCAAGAUUCGUGAAGUACAUAAAAGAUUCUCAAUAUGUUGAGCAAACCAACGUACCCAACAAGAAAGUUCCCAGGAAGUUGGAUUUGUAUUAUGUCGAAAAUUCGAGAGGUUAAGAUAGUUUCUACCACCGGUUGAAGGGUAAACAGAUAACUGAUCUUGAAGUAUGAAGCUACCAUGGCUGAUGAUAUGAUGAACGAUGAUGAGAGACUUGAGUGCAACGGCGGCGUUGUUGGUGUUCUGAAGACGGUCCAUAAGGAGUUCUAGAAAGGAGGAAGCGGUGGCGCGUGAACCGUCGGUGGAAGAGAGGAGCGUGGAGAUAUGUUUGUGGGUGGGAGGAGUGAAGGAGUCAUGGGUGGUGGCGCGUAAGAGAGAGAGGGUGGUGGGUUUAGAAAGUAACGCUGCUUUGCUUUGUGAAGCUUUGUCUUUGAUUAUGUUUAUUAGGUUUGUGACUGUGAGUUUUGUCAUGUUUUUGUU